AUACGGGGGGGGCGAGCGUUGUCCGGAAUCAUUGGGCGUAAAGGGUGAGUAGGCGGGAUGGUAAGUCAGAGGUGAAAGUCCAGGGCUCAACUCUGGAUCUGCCUCUGAUACUGCUGUCCUUGAGUGCGGGAGAGGGAAGUGGAAUUCCCGGUGUAGCGGUGAAAUGCGUAGAUAUCGGGAAGAACACCAGUGGCGAAGGCGGCUUCCUGGCCCGCAACUGACGCUGAAUCACGAAAGCGUGGGGAGCAAACAGGAUUAGAAACCCGAGUAGUCC
rnacentral:rRNA from 1 species